rnacentral:rRNA from 1 species
GUUAUAGGGACAAGCGACUAAGUGCACAUGGUGGAUGCCUUGGCGAUAUCAGGCGAUGAAGGACGUUGUAGCCUGCGAUAAGCUGCGGGGAGCUGGCAAACAAGCUUUGAUCCGCAGAUUUCCGAAUGGGGAAACCCGGCCCUUUGGGUCAUCUCACACUGAAUACAUAGGUGUGUGAAGCGAACGUGGCGAACUGAAACAUCUAAGUAGCUACAGGAAAAGAAAUCAACCGAGAUUCCCAAAGUAGUGGCGAGCGAAAUGGGAACAGCCUGCAAGAUUUAGCAGUCGAGAUAGCAAAAUGCUCUGGAAAGUGCAGCCAUAGCGGGUGAUAGCCCCGUAUGCGAAAUCUGGAUUGUGGAACUAAGCUUGCGACAAGUAGGGCGGGGCACGUGAAACCCUGUCUGAACAUGGGGGGACCAUCCUCCAAGGCUAAAUACUCGAUAUCGACCGAUAGUGAACCAGUACCGUGAGGGAAAGGCGAAAAGAACCCCGGAAGGGGAGUGAAAUAGAUCCUGAAACCGUGUGCAUACAAACAGUAGGAGCCUCGUAAGGGGUGACUGCGUACCUUUUGUAUAAUGGGUCAGCGACUUACAUUCAGUGGCAAGCUUAACCGUGUAGGGAAGGCGUAGCGAAAGCGAGUCCGAAUAGGGCGUUCAGUCGCUGGGUGUAGACCCGAAACCAGAUGAUCUAUCCAUGGCCAGGAUGAAGGUGCGGUAACACGCACUGGAGGUCCGAACCCACUAGUGUUGAAAAACUAGGGGAUGAGCUGUGGAUAGGGGUGAAAGGCUAAACAAAUCUGGAAAUAGCUGGUUCUCUCCGAAAACUAUUUAGGUAGUGCCUCAAGUAUCACCACCGGGGGUAGAGCACUGUUAUGGCUAGGGGGUCAUCGCGACUUACCAAACCAUUGCAAACUCCGAAUACCGGUGAGUGCGAGCUUGGGAGACAGACGCCGGGUGCUAACGUCCGACGUCAAGAGGGAAACAACCCAGACCGCCAGCUAAGGUCCCAAAGAUUGGCUAAGUGGAAAACGAAGUGGGAAGGCUAAAACAGUCAGGAGGUUGGCUUAGAAGCAGCCAUCCUUUAAAGAAAGCGUAAUAGCUCACUGAUCGAGUCGUCCUGCGCGGAAGAUGUAACGGGGCUAAGCCAGUCACCGAAGCUGCGGAUCUGCAGUAAUGCAGAUGGUAGGAGAGCGUUCUGUAAGCCUGCGAAGGUGUCUUGUAAAGGAUGCUGGAGGUAUCAGAAGUGCGAAUGCUGACAUGAGUAGCGAUAAUGCGGGUGAAAGGCCCGCACGCCGUAAGCCCAAGGUUUCCUGUUCAACGUUCAUCGGAGCAGGGUGAGUCGGCCCCUAAGGCGAGGCAGAGAUGCGUAGCUGAUGGGAAGCAGGUUAAUAUUCCUGCACCGUCGUUAGAUGCGAUGGGGGGACGGAUCGCGGAAGGUUGUCCGGGUGUUGGAUGUCCCGGUUCCUGUAUCAAAGAAGGCCAGUAGGCAAAUCCGCUGGCGUAAUUCAAGGGUAUGGGACGAGCGGCCUUGUGCCGCGAAGCAAUCGGAAGUGGUUCCAAGAAAAGCCUCUAAGCUUCAGUCUAACGAGACCGUACCGCAAACCGACACAGGUGGGCGAGAUGAGUAUUCUAAGGCGCUUGAGAGAACUCGGGAGAAGGAACUCGGCAAAUUGGUACCGUAACUUCGGGAUAAGGUACGCCCUUGUAGCUUGACUGGCCUGCGCCAGGAGGGUGAAGGGGUUGCAAUAAACUGGUGGCUGCGACUGUUUAAUAAAAACACAGCACUCUGCAAACACGAAAGUGGACGUAUAGGGUGUGACGCCUGCCCGGUGCUGGAAGAUUAAAUGAUGGGGUGCAAGCUCUUGAUUGAAGUCCCAGUAAACGGCGGCCGUAACUAUAACGGUCCUAAGGUAGCGAAAUUCCUUGUCGGGUAAGUUCCGACCUGCACGAAUGGCGUAACGAUGGCCACACUGUCUCCUCCCGAGACUCAGCGAAGUUGAAGUGUUUGUGAUGAUGCAAUCUACCCGCGGCUAGACGGAAAGACCCCAUGAACCUUUACUGUAGCUUUGCAUUGGACUUUGAACCAAUCUGUGUAGGAUAGGUGGGAGGCUUUGAAGCGAGGACGCUAGUUCUCGUGGAGCCGUCCUUGAAAUACCACCCUGGUUUGUUUGAGGUUCUAACCUUGGCCCGUUAUCCGGGUCGGGGACAGUGCAUGGUAGGCAGUUUGACUGGGGCGGUCUCCUCCCAAAGUGUAACGGAGGAGUUCGAAGGUACGCUAGGUACGGUCGGACAUCGUGCUAAUAGUGCAAUGGCAUAAGCGUGCUUAACUGCGAGACUGACAAGUCGAGCAGGUACGAAAGUAGGACAUAGUGAUCCGGUGGUUCUGUAUGGAAGGGCCAUCGCUCAACGGAUAAAAGGUACUCUGGGGAUAACAGGCUGAUUCCUCCCAAGAGUUCAUAUCGACGGGGGAGUUUGGCACCUCGAUGUCGGCUCAUCACAUCCUGGGGCUGUAGCCGGUCCCAAGGGUAUGGCUGUUCGCCAUUUAAAGUGGUACGUGAGCUGGGUUUAAAACGUCGUGAGACAGUUUGGUCCCUAUCUGCCGUGGGCGUUGGAAGUUUGAGGGGGGCUGCUCCUAGUACGAGAGGACCGGAGUGGACGAACCUCUGGUGUACCGGUUGUCACGCCAGUGGCAUUGCCGGGUAGCUAAGUUCGGAAGAGAUAACCGCUGAAAGCAUCUAAGCGGGAAACUUGCCUCAAGAUGAGACUUCCCGGGAACUUGAUUCCCCUAAAGGGUCGUUCGAGACCAGGACGUUGAUAGGUCAGGUGUGGAAGCGCAGUAAUGCGUUAAGCUAACUGAUACUAAUUGCCCGUGCGGCUUGUCCCUAUAACCUUAGCAGGU